AAAGAACAAAAUCUGUGCUGAAGUUUGAUGUGUUAACCUAAAAUACCACAAAGUCACAUGUGCACUCACAACUCCAGUCCUAAGGAGCAAAUGUUUAGGGCUUGGCCGAUUCCUAGUGUUGAAGUACAUGCAGCUCUGGAAGGAUCUGUGCUAGUUCUAAAGGGCAAGUUGUCGGUACACAAGUUUUGCUAUGCUUUUCUGGAUGCCAGACAAAUGGCCAUUCUCCACAUGCAGUUGGCACUUGUUUGUCUGGGGUUGUAUUACAGCAUGACCUCAGUUUAUCACUGCAAUGAGCAUGCAGGAGUUUCUGCCCUUAUUUGCCCUGUCCCUCUCCAUGAACUGCAAAGCUUCAGUAGCUAUUGCAGAGCCAGGCCCGGAGCUGGUCUAAGGCAGACAUCAGAGGACAGGUACUAUCACUGCUGUCCAGAGAACAAGAAACUCCUUCUGGCAGGAGUAGUUAGUUAUCUAGCAGCCUUGCUCCACUUAGUGUCCACCUGCUUCUCCUCUAUCCAUCACUUUUAGAAACUGCCUGAGACUCACGUGCAACCCAGCCUUUGGAUGCUUCAGCAGGAGUAUUGCUGCACCUCCAAACAGACCCACAGCGCUCACUCACCGCUGUCCAGGCAGCCCACUUACCCAAGUGUAAAAGUGGAGUCUAAUCUGCCAUCUUCCAAGGUAGAAGCAGGGUGUUCAAGAUAUCCCUGUAUAUAACAUAACAUCUCUGUACACAUGCUGAUUGGUGCAGUUGUAUAGCAGUGUCCAUGAAACAGAAAGUCAGAUACGCUUGAAAUUGUUAAAAAAGAUUACUAGUCCAAAGACAAAUUUUAUCAAUAUUUUGUACUUGAAAUAUCUUAAGCAUGGAGAACAUUGUUGAGUUAUUUAAGUCAGUUUUGGUUCCUAUUCAGUACCUUAAAAAAAACCCCCAUAGCUAAUGUGCAGCAUGACAGGAUAGUCUUUGGCAAGGGACAUCCAGGCAGUUAAUUUAACUGUCGCGUUGGCAUCUUGUAACGGUACACUUUUAGAGCCUGGCUCAUCACAAACGACUAGACACCACUCAGAAGAAAGGCCAUUUCAGGAGCUUCUUGAAGAACGCACUGAGCCCACAGGUCUAACAGAAGUCAGCAAGUGUUGAAACAAGGUUAACAAAAUGGCCCAAAAUCCUUUUUAUUUUUCUUGGCAAACCUGAAGGAUCUGUUAAUGGUUUCUGUUUGCUCUACUUCAGGACUGAAAGUCUAGCUGCUCUAAAUCUAAACACUGCUCCGGACAUUUGGCAACAAACAGCAAAAUGACUUCCAGAGAGCAGUCAUGAGCCACAUCCUACCUAGGUAUUCACAUGGGCAUUCAGCCAAGAGUAAUUUCACAAUGAAACCUUUGGGAUACAAAGUAAAACUACUCAAAACAACUGGAAAGAUUACUGCAGAUUGAAGAAUACCAUAUGUCUGGUCUGGAGAGCAGUAUUGGCUCAACAGAGCUGAAGAUGAAGGUCUCUCUGGAGACGUGCAUAGCACAAAGAACCAGAAAUACAACCAUGACCCUUUUUUUUCCCCCUCAAAACUCCUGGUGCUGGUCUGGGAUUGUUAAGCUGCUUGACACUUUUGAUGUGCAGCUGUCAGGAGAUUAGCAGUGCCAUUUAUCUCCAAAUGUACAGAGGGGUUUCUAGUACUCCCAGAGCUGUGCCACAGCUCAUGCUGUUAUUAAUUUCAGAAAGGUCAAACACUUUUCUGAUAAAAUAUUUUGGUUUGCCAAUGCGUAAGUACACAAUAAAAUAAAAUAAAAAAAGGCAACUGUGAGUUGUAGUCCAAACUCUUAGAUUGUUUAGGUGUUCUCAAGAGAAUUUUCUCAUGAAAAUCCAGAAGAUUUGAGGGAAGCUGAAGGGAAUUCUCAUUUAAUACUAACAGCCUGUCUAGAAGACAUUUGCUCAAAAGAGGCACUUUAAAACAUCAAAGGUCACGCAGCACUACUGGUGCAUAGUGUCAACCUCAGGGGGUACCUAGAUCCUCCAUGUGGAUUUCAGCCAACCUGUAAAGCUGUACAUGUGCAUUUCAGCCAACGUACAACACUCUAUUCUGUGAUCUGUCACAUCAGCUCUGUGGAAAGCCAGUAGGGGGACAUCAAAACAGCAUGCACCAAGUGAGCGAGGCCACCAGAUUCAGCCUCCAGGUGCCAACUGGGUUCUGGCUCAAGCAGUGUUAGAAACAUGCUGCUGCUUUCUUCCCAUGCAAGUUGGAGUGAACUUCCCAGAAAGGGACCAAACCAUUUUUAUUUUUCUUUUUAAACUAAAUGCUUUUAAUAGAAAACAAAAUACAAAAUAACUCUUUCCAGAAAGCAGAAAUAUUUAAUCUCUCCAAAUGACAAACUAGAACGUGCUUUUUCCGCAGAUCCUUGUUGUAAAUGCUGAUGAUUUAUCUCACAAAGUGUUCAUGAAACCGGUAUUGCAACAUUUGAGAAGAAUCCAACACUGGCAGAGCUGCCUCUGUGUACACACAAUAAUUUAGUAAGACUAUUUUUUCCCAUGUCACUUUGUGUGUCUCUCUUCAUCCCCCUCUCCCUAGACUGCCAACUUCCAUUUAUGGAAAUAUUUCUGUGAGGUGCAGUGGUGGAUUGACAUGCCCUGUUUCCAAUAGGAGUCCAAACUUAGCCACUUUAUUUCUAUUGUGCCCUCCCUCCAGACAAGGCAAGUUGUUUAUUACCCUUAAAGCCACCGCUGUGCCCCCACUGUCCUCCCAUCCUCAAAACACAGUGCAACCAGAGUCAGAAAAUUUCCUAAUUAAUGGAACAUAAAUACAAAUAUCACAGCUAGUAUCAGGAAUCAAACCCAAAUGACAAUGCAGAGAUGGGCCCCAACUGAGGUCAGAUUUUCAUCCCCUUACAAAAAAGAACAAUCGUAUUUUCUACUUACUUAGUCCAAAAUAUUCCAGAAGUGCUAUAAGGAGCUGUAGUAUUUAGGACCAUUAUCACUGUAGAAUAUACACAAUGUUCUUUUAAUAGAAGGGUCUUAAAAAUGCUGGUCCUCUGCAAUACCAGGAAAACAAAAGCAAAACAAAACAAAAAACACUGGGCCAGUAGUUCUCCACACACUUGAGCCUCAGUUAACAGUAGGUAACAUGUGCCCAUCAAUCAACGCAGGAUAUUUAAGUGCAGGUCAGCAGCUUAUCUGGUUGGCAGUUUCACUUGUCUGGACCAAGCUUUUGGUUUCCCCAAGCUACUGGAUUUACUCCCCUUUUUCCCGUUCCUACAAGUACAAGAUUAGAACGUAUAUGUAUUUUCAUCACUUCUCCUUUUUUCCUUAUUCUAUUCAACAGCACAGGCCUUUUCGUGACAUCUUAAAGCAUCUGCAUUACUCUGAACAUGCCUUUCAAGGGGCAAAGGAAGAAAAGUGUUUCACAGUCAGUAAUCUCAGCUUGCAAUGGACUCUGACAUUCAAUACACCCACCCACUUCCCUAAAAAAAAAAAUAA